GACGAACGCUGGCGGCGUGCCUAAUACAUGCAAGUAGAACGCUGAAGAGAGGAGCUUACUCUUCUUGGAUGAGUUGCGAACGGGUGAGUAACGCGUAGGUAACCUGCCUUGUAGCGGGGGAUAACUAUUGGAAACGAUAGCUAAUACCGCAUAACAAUGGAUGACACAUGUCAUUUAUUUGAAAGGGGCAAUUGCUCCACUACAAGAUGGACCUGCGUUGUAUUAGCUAGUAGGUGAGGUAAUGGCUCACCUAGGCGACGAUACAUAGCCGACCUGAGAGGGUGAUCGGCCACACUGGGACUGAGACACGGCCCAGACUCCUACGGGAGGAAGCAGUAGGGAAUCUUCGGCAAUGGGGGCAACCCUGACCGAGCAACGCCGCGUGAGUGAAGAAGGUUUUCGGAUCGUAAAGCUCUGUUGUAAGUCAAGAACGGGUGUGAGAGUGGAAAGUUCACACUGUGACGGUAGCUUACCAGAAAGGGACGGCUAACUACGUG
rnacentral:rRNA from 1 species